GAUGAACGCUAGCGGCAGGCUUAACACAUGCAAGUCGAGGGGCAGCAUAAGACAUUGCUUGCAAUGUCUGGUGGCGACCGGCGCACGGGUGCGUAACGCGUAUGCAACCUACCUGUAACAGGGGGAUAACACUGAGAAAUUGGUACUAAUACCCCAUAACAUCACUGAAGGCAUCUUUGGUGGUUGAAAGUUCCGGCGGUUACAGAUGGGCAUGCGUUGUAUUAGCUAGUUGGAGAGGUAACGGCUCACCAAGGCUACGAUACAUAGGGGGACUGAGAGGUUAACCCCCCACAUUGGUACUGAGACACGGACCAAACUCCUACGGGAGGCAGCAGUGAGGAAUAUUGGUCAAUGGACGCAAGUCUGAACCAGCCAUGCCGCGUGCAGGAUGACGGCUCUAUGAGUUGUAAACUGCUUUUGUACGAGGUAAAAUGAGAUACGUGUAUCUCACUGAAAGUAUCGUAUGAAUAAGGAU
rnacentral:rRNA from 1 species